GAACUCUUCAGCUGGGGAACAGGGGUACAGGGCCCAGGCAACUCUGAAGGUGAAGAAGUGAAAUGAAAGUAAGAGCCAGAAAGAAUGAAGGACAUCAAAAGAACAAGGGCCUCUAAAUCAACAAAGCAAAGUUUAAAUAAACUCAAGAGACUAAAGCAUCUUGCACAGCGCUGGCCAAGAACUCUGGAGUGUAUAAAUGAGGUGGAGAGCAUCAGUAAUCCCACUCCUCUUCUGAGAUGAGAAGCCAAGGCAGAC